AUUUACCUGACUUUUGUGGUACAUACAUUGGGAUGCCCUGCUUUUAAAAUAUGCAGAAGUCUAAAACUAUAAAACCCAUUAAUCAGCAAGUUAUCAUUGGCUUAACAAAAUAAUUUUUCAUCUUAUGAAAUGAUACACCAUAAAUUUCAUUUAAAUACUUCUUCAUUUAAGUAUGGUUUAUUUACAAAUAAAGGUAACCAAAACCUUUCCAAAAUAGUUACAGGAAAAAGUGGUAAAUAUAUACCUCUUUUUUCACAAGUUAGCCCUGUAUAUAAAUAAAAAAGGAUAUAAGAGUCUUUAGAUUUCAUAGUCUGUUUAUUAUAAAUAUAGAACUUAUUUUACUAACCUUAUAGUAAAUAGGAUUUACUAUAUUUUAUAUCACAUAUAUUAUAAUCCUAUGAAUAUCUUUUUUAUAAAUUAUUACAUGUAGGUGAAAAAUGUCUAUAAGCAAAUCUGGUAUAUGCAAAACAUAUACACUGGAGUUGCACAGAAAAUCUACUGCAUUAUAUGUUAAUAAGAUACAUGUGGCAAGUGAUCUCAGGAUUACUAAGCGAAUACAGAGGAUGCAUUUUAAUGGCUAAU
rnacentral:lncRNA from 1 species